AUCAGCCCAAACUUGGGAGUCACUGAGCUUAAACCACGAGAAUCAGUAGCUGCUGUGAAAGAUAUUUCACUUCCAGCUACAUCGUUGACAGAUCAAGCUCUAUUGGAUGCAGAAAUUACACUUUAUUCUUGUCUGGGCAAAAGAAUUCAAAAGACGUCUAGUAGRAGUCUCGUCAAUCCACUGAMCAUGCUCUUUCGUGACGGAGAUUCCCAGCAUUUUGUCCCUUUGUGUCUAUGUACGGAAACCAUCAACUGUCCUGUUCAUCCAAACAUCGGCAAGUAACACACGAAUUUGGGAAGUAAAUCUUAGCUUGUCGCAUCAACGAAGGUUCCAGACGCACUGCGGAUCAUUUCAGUACUACAAGACAACUUAUUCCUGUAUUUCGUAUAAAGAAACAUUUGGUCAUUUAAAAAUAACAAGCAACUCAUCAAGAAUGUGUUACCGAGCGAGAAGCCAAAAUUUGRUGAAAGAUCCUAAUCAUGAUUGGUUCUCAUAAAAGCUGAUAAGAAAUGAAGAAACAAGAAAAAUAAGUUGUUUGUAGAGUUGGUAUUGUAACCCAGUUAAGAUUGCAUCUACUGGAACUGGUGGAACCUGGAGUGCAAGUAACUGCAAUUUUAAUGCUUUAUGACGUUUCUUCAUCACUGGCAUCGAUCUUUGCUGGACUGCGAAUAUCUGGGGUGUCUUUCAUAUACUCGCGAAACAAAAAGGAUUUAUUAUUUGGGAACAACAGAAUAAAGAGAUAUAUCGUUUCAGGGGACCAUAAAACAAUCCAAUGCCAGUGAAAGGAAAAUAGUACGUUUGGCUUUAAUAGUAAUACAAAUUCCGUUCUAAUUAAGGUUUAUAUCAAGAAAUGRCGUACACAACUUUUAGCACAACCUCGUURCGUGAAAAWGUAUGUCAUACUUAGUUUUUGAUUUGAACUCAAGAUGACAACUGAAAUUUGUAUUAUAAAUAGGGAAGCUGAGUGAUAGCAAUUCUAUGUUCUGAUAUCUCAUAAGAGACUUACAAAGUUUUUUUUAGACCUCCAAGUUGUAGUCGAAGAGGAUUACAACAAAAUUAUGUGAUGCACAUGAAGAAAACUAUUCAGCUUGAAUUUUCGUUGUAUGUUAUAAACCUAGAGAUCUUUUACAAAGAGUAUAAGAUUGGGUGCGUUGUAGAGUGUAGAUGAAGAAACACUGCCUUCUAGUCUUUCGCACUCUAUUUAAUAAAUUUAUUUUAAUAUU